rnacentral:tRNA from 1 species
GGGAAGGUGGCUCAGUGGUAGAGCGCUUGCCUUGCGUGCAUGGGACCCUGGGUUCGAUUCCUCAGCGCCA